rnacentral:piRNA from 1 species
UGGAAACAAAAAGGUGUUAGUUUG